rnacentral:rRNA from 1 species
UACGGAGGUGGCAAGCGUUGCUCGGAAUCACUGGGCGUAAAGGGCGCGUAGGCGGGGAGGUAAGUCGGGUGUGAAAUCCCUCGGCUCAACCGAGGAACUGCGCCCGAGACUGCUUCUCUUGAGUCCCGGAGAGGAAGGUGGAAUUCCCGGUGUAGCGGUGAAAUGUGUAGAGAUCGGGAGGAACACCGGUGGCGAAGGCGGCCUUCUGGACGGUGACUGACGCUGAGGCGCGAAAUCGUGGGGAGCAAACGGG